UGCAAGUCGCACGAGAACGCUCCGGCUUCGGCCGGGGCAAGUACAGUGGCGGACGGGUGCGUAUCGCGUAGAUAACCUGCCCUUAGGCGCGGGACAAUCACGGGAAACCGUGGCUAAUACCGCACGUCGUCUGGGCCCCGCAUGGGGACCAGAUGAAAGCUUGGGGUUACCCAGGCGCCUUGGGAUGGGUCUGCGUUGGAUUAGCUUGUUGGUGAGGCAACGGCUCACCAAGGCAACGAUCCAUAGCUGGUCUGAGAGGACGAUCAGCCACACUGGGACUGAGACACGGCCCAGACUCCUACGGGAGGCAGCAGUGGGGAAUCUUGCACAAUGGGGUCACCCCUGAUGCAGCCAUGCCGCGUGGAGGAAGACACCCCUAUGGGGCGUAAACUCCUUUUCUGAAUGAAGAAACCCCUGUAGGUUCAGGGCGCGACGGUAGUUCAGGAAUAAGCACCGGCUAACUCCGUGCCAGCAGCCGCGGUAAUACGGAGGGUGCAAGCGUUGUCCGGAAUCACUGGGUGUAAAGGGUGUGCAGGCGGGGCAACAAGUCGGAUGUGAAACCCCAUGGCUCAACCAUGGAGGUGCAUUCGAAACUGUUGCUCUUGAGUCCCGGAGAGGCUGUCGGAAUUCGUGGUGUAGCGGUGAAAUGCGUAGAUAUCACGAGGAACACCAGAGGCGAAAGCGGGCAGCUGGACGGGUACUGACGCUCAGGCACGAAAGCGUGGGGAGCAAACAGGAUUAGAUACCC
rnacentral:rRNA from 1 species